AUUGAACGCUAGCGGGAUGCCUUACACGUGCAAGUCGAACGGCAGCGCGGACUUCGGUCUGGCGGCGAGUGGCGAACGGGUGAGUAAUGUAUCGGAACGUGCCCAGUAGCGGGGGAUAACUACUCGAAAGAGUAGCUAAUACCGCAUACGCCCUACGGGGAAAGGGGGGGAUCGCAAGACCUCUCACUAUUGGAGCGGCCGAUAUCGGAUUAGCUAGUUGGUGAGGUAAAGGCUCACCAAGGCGACGAUCCGUAGCUGGUUUGAGAGGACGACCAGCCACACUGGGACUGAGACACGGCCCAGACUCCUACGGGAGGCAGCAGUGGGGAAUUUUGGACAAUGGGGGCAACCCUGAUCCAGCCAUUCCGCGUGUGCGAUGAAGGCCUUCGGGUUGUAAAGCACUUUUGGCAGGAAAGAAAUCGCACGGAUUAAUACUCUGUGUGGAUGACGGUACCUGCAGAAUAAGCACCGGCUAACUACGUGCCAGCCGCCGCCGUAA
rnacentral:rRNA from 1 species